GACGAACCGAGCGAACGUUGUUCGGAAUCACUGGGCUUAAAGGGCGCGUAGGCGGGCUGUCAAGUCUGGGGUGAAAUCCCACGGCUCAACCGUGGAACUGCCUUAGAUACUGACGGCCUCGAGGGAGGUAGGGGCAUGCGGAACCGAUGGUGGAGCGGUGAAAUGCGUUGAUAUCAUCAGGAACUCCGGUGGCGAAGGCGGCGUGCUGGACCUUUUCUGACGCUGAGGCGCGAAAGCCAGGGGAGCAAACGGG
rnacentral:rRNA from 1 species